CCAGAGUCCUACGGGAGGCAGCAGUAGGGAAUCUUCGGCAAUGGACGAAAGUCUGACCGAGCAACGCCGCGUGAGUGAAGAAGGUUUUCGGAUCGUAAAACUCUGUUGGUAGAGAAGAACGUUGGUGAGAGUGGAAAGCUCAUCAAGUGACGGUAACUACCCAGAAAGGGACGGCUAACUACGUGCCAGCAGCCGCGGUAAUACGUAGGUCCCGAGCGUUGUCCGGAUUUAUUGGGCGUAAAGCGAGCGCAGGUGGUUUAUUAAGUCUGGUGUAAAAGGCAGUGGCUCAACCAUUGUAUGCAUUGGAAACUGGUAGACUUGAGUGCAGGAGAGGAGAGUGGAAUUCCAUGUGUAGCGGUGAAAUGCGUAGAUAUAUGGAGGAACACCGGUGGCGAAAGCGGCUCUCUGGCCUGUAACUGACACUGAGGCUCGAAAGCGUGGGGAGCAAACAGGAUUAGAUACCCUGGUAGUCCACGCCGUAAACGAUGAGUGCUAGAUGUAGGGAGCUAUAAGUUCUCUGUAUCGCAGCUAACGCAAUAAGCACUCCGCCUGGGGAGUACGACCGCAAGGUUGAAACUCAAAGGAAUUGACGGGGGCCCGCAC
rnacentral:rRNA from 1 species